UUUUAAUUAUUUUUUUUUGGAGAAGAAUGUGGAGAAGCAAGCUAGAAAAAUGGAGGACUUUUUUAUGAAACUUACCUUUAUUGGAAGGUAAUAUGCUUUAUUUAAUAUCAAUCCUUGUAGUAGAGUAUUUAGAUUGCCAAUAUAGAUGGAAAUUUAAGACAUCGAGCCCGAAUUUAAUGCGAUAUUUCGACAUAAAGUUUGUGCUUUUUCUUUGCACGUGGUUCGCUUUAUAGGCGAUUGUCGAAUUUUAAACCGUGUUUUAAUUCGUAAUUAUUGUCGACCAAGUAAGUAAAAAGACUAGUUAAGACCUAGAAUUGUUUAAGUUGUCGAAAAAAGUUGUUAUCUCUGAGUUCUUGCAGAAAAUUUUUACAUUAUAAAAAUGCCGUGUACAGAGACGAGGUGCUUGGUGCCAGUUGGUGGGACGAAUAUUUCUAUUUCAUCAGCUUGUACGUUUCAAUCUUGCGAUAAAAUAUUUUAACAAUAUGGUGUUUUUGUUCCUUUAUAUGCAGAAAAAGCCUGGCUUUAGCAACAUUACAACGUAUUUGAUUCUUUUUUCCAAAAUAAAGUUAAUUAGAAAUAAAACUAUUAAGUGAAAAUUGCUACUGCAAUUUGCAGUUGAGCUUAGAGACGGGAAGUUUUACCGCGCAGUUUGAUCGUUGAAACGCCCAAGUUACCAAGGGAAAAUUCAAAUGUUGUCAAGCGGAAAUGCGAAUGUUGUCAUGGGAGAUUCAGGCAAUCCCCGAGCACAGAAAUGCGUAUAAAUGUAACCUGAUGAUGGAGUAAACUCCGAAACGUUGUUACAAUUUAUUAAAUUUGUUAUAAAAAAAGCCUUCUGGUCGUUACUAAAAAGAAAAUUAUCACAGAAAUUAUGUGUUUGAUUUGGGCAAACACCUUCACUAUGAUUGGCCGAAAGUGCCUAAAUCUCCCAGGACAAUAUUCGCAUUUCCGCUUGACAAAAUGCGAAUUUGCCCUUGGUAACUUGUGUGUUUCAACGAUCAAACUGCGCGGUAAAUCUUACUGUCUCCAGUGGCGGAAAUUCACUUUUUCCGGUGGGGGGGGGGGCAAAGCCUCCUAAAUUUCCGACAAAACUUUCAAAUUUCCGACGUACCCCCCAUUUGCACUCGAAAAGACUGUUUUUAACCCUUUUAACCCUUUGGCAGUUGCCCCCCUUCCCCGCCCCACCAUGAUUUCCGCCACUGACUGUCUCUAAGCUCAACUGCAAAUCGCAGUAUGUCAAAGAAAACAAAUUUUCUUCAAAUAUUUUUUGGCUUGUCAUUGACCAGCAAUUGCCGUCCGUGAUCAGUUGGCAUUGCCACAACAUAUAAACAUUUCAAGAAGCAAUGACUGGGUCUGUGUCGGGAAACAGACAAUAUUUUUGGCAUCAAGUUCGACCCUGUUUACACAGUACUGGACGAAUUUGGGACCGGCCUGAAAUUUGUCCUUUUCGGCCGUGUAAACAAACGAAAACAACGGAACAGGAGGAAUUUGUGUGUAAACAGGCAAAAAGGGACGAAUUUCAGACUGGUCCCAAAUUUGUCCGGUACCGUGUAAACAGGGUCUUACAUCGUAAAGCAAAUAACAAAAAAUAGGGUAGGCAGGUAAGCAAACAACCCCAACCACAUCAUGAAAAAAAUAUAAAAUAGGGUUGGCUGGAAAACCAAAACCACAGGAUAUUGUUUUGUUUCAGGCUCUGAUGUUCAUAUUGAAUUUUUCAUCUCGCUAACUAACCAAGCUAUUCACAUUUUUAGUUAAAUUCUCAUAAAUUUUUGUAGAUGUACAGUGCAAGUUACAAGAAUGUUGCAAGACCUCAUGAUUAUGAAAAAUGAACACAUUCCAAGAUCCUGAAUAAGAGGUAAAUUUUUCUUCUAAUUAUUUGUAACUUUCUCCUUGUAUUUCUUCGACAAUUCUCAUUGUAAUUUAUUAAUUGGUUUCAUGUUCUCAAUAGUGAGUUUUUAAAAUUUUCUAGAUGUGUGUUGCAGUUUCCAAGAAUGUCUCAAGUUGUUGGCUGAAGUGUUUUUAAUUACAAAAAUGAACACUGUCAUUGGAAAGUAUAUAAAAGGUCUUAAUAUUUUUCUGUCUUAUCUUACAUGAAAUGUUUUGAACAUUAUAUGAUUGCUUGUGAUCAAUAGUUUCAAAAAUCCCAACAGAAUAUUGCAAAAAUAGCAUGACCAUGUUACUUAUGACACAAAAUACAAAAAAAUAAUAAACACAAUCUUUACGCUCUAAUUAUGGCGUUAUCCUGGGGCGAGGGUACUAAUUUUAUUAUUAGCGAACUUAAGAUCUACGACGCGGCUGGCUCAAUGACACACUUGCGAAAGAAAGAAAUUGUCAUGCCAGACAAAAAAUGUGAAUAAGUUGUGGUCCCAUGGGUAUUCUCAACGGCUUUGCCAUUCUGAGCACAACGUUAAACUAAGCAUUAUCAUGUCUUUCAUGCAACGUGAAAGCUUACUGCGUCCCAAGAGGUAUACUCAAAGUCGAAAUUACAGCAAACAUUUUGUCGCUUUAGUCAAACUUAGCAGUUUGUAAUGUUAUUUGAAAAAGCUUAAACAUUUAUUACUGACUAAUUUUGUGUUUUUAAUUUAAAUCAAGGAUCACACAAGAGGUUUUUGAUAAUACUUUUAUUUUAGCUACAUUUCGGAUAGUUUACUAUCCGUCCUCAGGCUAACAAAUUGUUCUUACAUUUGACAUGUACAAAAAGUUGUACACGUCAAAUGUAAGAACAAUUUGUUAGCCUGAGGACCGAUAGU
rnacentral:lncRNA from 1 species